GAUGAACGCUAGCUACAGGCUUAACACAUGCAAGUCGAGGGGUAGCAGGGUAGCAAUACCGCUGACGACCGGCGCACGGGUGAGUAACACGUAUCCAACCUACCGUUUACUCGGGGAUAGCCUUUCGAAAGAAAGAUUAAUACCCGAUAGUAUAAAGAGUUCGCAUGUUCUCUUUAUUAAAGGAUUCCGGUAAAUGAUGGGGAUGCGUUCUAGUAGAUUGUUGGCGGGGUAACGGCCCACCAAGUCUUCGAUGGAUAGGGGUUCUGAGAGGAAGGUCCCCCACAUUGGAACUGAGACACGGUCCAAACUCCUACGGGAGGCAGCAGUGAGGAAUAUUGGUCAAUGGGCGUUAGCUUGAACCAGCCAAGUAGCGUGAAGGAUGACUGCCCUAUGGGUUGUAAACUUCUUUUAUAAGGGAAUAAAACGGGGAACGUGUUCCCCUUUGCAUGUACCUUACGAAUAAGGAUCGGCUAACUCCGUACCAGCAACCGCGGUAA
rnacentral:rRNA from 1 species